GCAGUUUGAGAAGAUGGCGGCCUGAACCGGAGUCCUUCUUCCCCUCCUCCCUCUCCGCUGCUGCAAUGCCCAGGCCCCCCGCAACGUUCCUCGUCUGUAAUGGUGCCAGAGGCUUUAAAUCUUGCAGAAGCCACAUCUGCUGCCUGCAGAGAUGGGGUUUCACCAUAUUGGCCAGGCUGGUCUUGAACUCAAGAUGAUUCGCCCAACACAGCCUCUCAAAGUGCUGGGAUUACAGUCUCCGGUAUGUCAUUAUCAGCAGUGUGAAAAUGGACUCACUCCCACCCUGUCUGGAUCUGGACAAGAGCCCACCACCCCGUUGGCAGUAGUCAGGCAGCUCUGCUUCUAAGAACCUGCAGCUUUUGGAAGAAAGGCACCCUGUGGUUUCAGAAGCCCAAGAGUCCCUGCAGCUCAGCACCCCCAGCCUGGUGCUUGGCAGAUGACUGCCUCCUCACUUAGCAGAGGGAGCAGAAAACUGUGUAUUCUUCAGAACAUCAUGAUAACCUGGCACUCAUGGGUCUAUGGAGAGAAUUCAGGGGGUCUGGGAGCUUGGAUGGAAUAAAUUUGCAUCUUUAUUUUCAGGAAAGUUUUACUGAAGUUUAGCAUUUUCUUUCAUUAUAAAUGGAAUCAGUAUAACCCAAUAGUAUGAGCAGUUACUUCUCCGCAACAUCAAAGUGGCUGCAGAUAUCUCAAAAUAGUAUUUACAUUUAUCAUAACUUAGAAAUUUGGGUGGUAAUUAAACCAGCAACUAUUCUUUGUUUAAUGCAUUAAGAAAGAAGUAUGUAUACUAUCAUAUCUCAAUUAAAAAUAUUUUAAGAACUGGA
ensembl:lncRNA novel transcript